UGAGGAAUAUUGGCCAAUGGGCGGGAGCCUGAACCAGCCAAGCCGCGUGAGGGAAGAAGGCCCUAUGGGUCGUAAACCUCUUUUGUCAGGGAACAAAAGGGAGUAUGUAUACUAGUCUGAGUGUACCUGAAGAAAAAGCAUCGGCUAACUCCGUGCCAGCAGCCGCGGUAAUACGGAGGAUGCGAGCGUUAUCCGGAUUUAUUGGGUUUAAAGGGGUGCGUAGGCGGCGAUGCAAGUCAGCGGUAAAAGCCCGGGGCUCAACCCCGGCGAGCCGUUGAAACUGCAGUGCUAGAGAAGGCGAGAGGUACGCGGAAUGCGCAGUGUAGCGGUGAAAUGCUUAGAUAUUGCGCAGAACUCCGAUUGCGAAGGCAGCGUACUGGCGCCUGACUGACGCUGAGGCACGAAAGCGUGGGGGAUCGAACAGGAUUAGAUACC
rnacentral:rRNA from 1 species